rnacentral:misc_RNA from 1 species
UCCCUGCUGAAAUAACAUAACUUUACUAGGAGCAAAAAAUUUACAAUCAAAAAAGGAACACAUAAUUUGCAAGCUCAAAAAAUUAACAUGUUCUCUUAAUUUUCCCAGCAUGAUAUAGCAAAUCCACCAUUGUAAUCCUAGAACAAAGAAUAUGACCACAUGGACCCAAAAAUUUACUUUUUUUCCACCUGAAGCUGAAUCAGUACCUGUGCAUGAACAAGAAACUAUCUAGCUGUUGGCUGUGCAACUGUCGCAUCAAGGGAUAAGUAAUUUUCAGUGCCACCAAAUUCCAAGGAACCCAAGUUGAGUGAAGACCGAACAGAAUUCCUUGACAUGUCAUCCGAGUUACCUUCUCUCACUGCCACAGCUUCCCUUUCAAUUAGGAUAGCAUCUUGGAUCUCCUUGAGAACUUCUGAAAUUGAUGGCCUCAUGUGUCCAUGAGGCUGGACACACAUCAAAGCCUUCUCUGCUAUCUUCCACAUAGACUGUAUAUCAUACUCAUCAUGUAGUGAGGGAUCAAUAAUUCCUUGGAUAUCCCCGCUUUCGAUGUGCAGCUUCGCCCAUUGAACAAUAUUACGGCAAUUAACACCAAAGCUUUCAUUUAAUAUGGCUUCCUGACCAGACAUCAGCUCCAGGAGAAUGACACCAAAACUAUAAACAUCACUCUUGUCCGUUAACUGCUGAGAAAUAUAAUACUCUGGAUCCAAAUACCCUACUGUGCCCCUAACUAUGCUUGAGACAUGUGAAGCUCCAUCUACUGCUAGUUUUGAAAGACCAAAAUCAGAAACCUUUGCUCUCAUGUGUUUGUCAAGAAGAAUAUUACUGGUCUUUAAAUCUCUAUGUAUAAUGGCAGGAACACAGCCUGUGUGGAGAUAUUCAAUUCCUUUGGCAGCGUCUUCAGCAAUCUCAAGGCGCUUGAUCCAAUUAAUACUUCUUCCACGUGUUAAUGGACCAUAGAGAUGUUCCUUGAGCGUUCCAUUGUGCAUGAACUCAUAAACAAGCAUACUUCUCCCUUCUUCUUGGCAAAACCCAUGAAACUGUACCAAGUUUCUAUGAUGUAUCCUUGAAAGAAGAGUCACCUCAUUUGAAAAUUCUCG